AACGAACGCUGGCGGCGUGCCAAACACGUGCAAGUCGAACGAGAAAGGGGCUUCGGCUCCGAGUAAAGUGGCGCACGGGUGAGUAACACGUGGGUAACCUGCCUCUAAGAUUGGGAUAACUCGUCGAAAGAUGAGCUAAUACCGGAUAAGACCACUGUUCCCGCGGGAACAGGGGUCAAAGGUAGCCUCUGCUUGCAAGCUAUCACUUAGAGAUGGGCCUGCGCACCAUUAGCUAGUUGGUAGGGUAACGGCCUACCAAGGCAAAGAUGGUUAGCUGGUCUGAGAGGAUGAUCAGCCACACUGGAACUGAGACACGGUCCAGACUCCUACGGGAGGCAGCAGUGGGGAAUAUUGCGCAAUGGGCGAAAGCUUGACGCAGCAACGCCGCGUGAGUGAUGAAGGCCUUCGGGUCGUAAAGCUCUGUCGGGAGGAACGAAUGCUCCCAAGGUUAACAGCCUCGGGAGGUGACGGUACCUUCAAAGGAAGCACCGGCUAACUCUGUGCCAGCCGCCGCAGUAAUAC
rnacentral:rRNA from 1 species